GGGGUUAUAGCUCAGUGGGUAGAGUGCAUGUUUUGUACAUGUGAGGCACUGAGUUCGAUCCUCAGUGCCA
rnacentral:tRNA from 1 species